GAUGAAGAACGCAGUGAAAUGCGAUAAGUAAUGUGAAUUGCAGAAUUCAGUGAAUCAUCGAAUCUUUGAACGCACAUUGCGCCCGCCAGUACUCUGGCGGGCAUGCCUGUUCGAGCGUCAUUACAACCCUCAGGCCCCCGGGCCUGGCGUUGGGGAUCGGCGGAAGCCCCCUGCGGGCACAACGCCGUCCCCCAAAUACAGUGGCGGUCCCGCCGCAGCUUCCAUUGCGUAGUAGCUAACACCUCGCAACUGGAGAGCGGCGCGGCCACGCCGUAAAACACCCAACUUCUGAAUGUUGACCUCGAAUCAGGUAGGAAUACCCGCUGAACUUAAGCAUAUCAAUAAGCGGAGGA
rnacentral:misc_RNA from 1 species